AUUGAACGCUGGCGGCAGGCCUAACACAUGCAAGUCGAACGAGUGGCGGACGGGUGAGUAAUGUCUGGGAAACUGCCCGAUGGAGGGGGAUAACUACUGGAAACGGUAGCUAAUACCGCAUACUAUCAGAUGAGCCUAGGUCGGAUUAGCUAGUUGGUGGGGUAAAGGCCUACCAAGGCGACGAUCCGUAACUGGUCUGAGAGGAUGAUGAGGCACACUGGAACUGAGACACGGUCCAGACUCCUACGGGAGGCAGCAGUGGGGAAUAUUGCACAAUGGGCGCAAGCCUGAUGCAGCCAUGCCGCGUGUGUGAAGAAGGCCUUCGGGUUGUAAAGCACUUUCAGCGGGGAGGCGUUACCCGCAGAAGAAGCACCGGCUAACUCCGUGCCAGCAGCCGCGGUAAUAC
rnacentral:rRNA from 1 species